rnacentral:rRNA from 1 species
GAUGAACGCUGGCGGCGUGCCUAAUACAUGCAAGUCGAGCGAACAGACGAGGAGCUUGCUCCUCUGACGUUAGCGGCGGACGGGUGAGUAACACGUGGAUAACCUACCUAUAAGACUGGGAUAACUUCGGGAAACCGGAGCUAAUACCGGAUAAUAUAUUGAACCGCAUGGUUCAAUAGUGAAAGACGGCUUUGCUGUCACUUCUAGAUGGAUCCGCGCCGCAUUAGCUAGUUGGUAAGGUAACGGCCUACCAAGGCAACGAGGCGUAGCCGACCUGACAGGGGGAUCGGCCACACUGGAAGUUAAACGCGGACAAUACUCCUACGGGAGGCAGCAGAAGGGAAUCUUCCGCAAUGGUCGAAAGCCUUACAGAGCAGCGCGACGUGAGUGAUGACGGUCUUCGGUUCGUAAAACUCUGUUAUUAGGGAAAAACAGAUGUGUAAGUAACUAUAGACGUCUUGACGGUACCUAAUCAGAAAGCCACGGCUAACUACGUG